rnacentral:rRNA from 1 species
UACGGAGGGUGCGAGCGUUGUCCGGAAUUACUGGGCGUAAAGAGCUCGUAGGUGGUUUGUCACGUUGUUCGUGAAAACCCACAGCUCAACUGUGGGCGUGCGAGCGAUACGGGCAGACUAGAGUACUGCAGGGGAGACUGGAAUUCCUGGUGUAGCGGUGGAAUGCGCAGAUAUCAGGAGGAACACCGGUGGCGAAGGCGGGUCUCUGGGCAGUAACUGACGCUGAGGAGCGAAAGCGUGGGGAGCGAACAGG